ACCAGGAAUUUCCUGUAACCAUGAGUUUUGGAAGUGAAUACACACUAGUGUAAUAUUACUCCUUCAAUAAAUCAGCACAUAGGUGUUCAUUUACUAAAGGAUAUUUUCUCUUUUAAAG